GGAGCGGCCGGGAGAGCGGAGCCCGGUUCUGCCUGGUUUGUUGCAAUAAACGAGGCUGCAAAAUCCACAGAUUGUCCCCUGGGAGGAAGCUGCAAUGAUGGAAAACAGAUAUAUCCUCCUCUACGCUAAAGGACCUACAGAGGACAAAACCGACAUAAUCUGGGAAGCACUCCCUGUCCUCUGGACUGCAGGUCAGCUAUAGCACAGCGCACUUCCGGAUCUAGGUAGUUGGCUAUUCCCUAGAAGAUCUGUAAGUUACUUCCUCACUUACUUCUCAAGAUAAUGCCAGAGUUUUAUAUAAAUUCUGUGCUUCACCACAGUACAGGGAGCUGUAAGGUCUGUAAAUACAUUUUUAAAAAAAAUUGUUUCUUUUUUCCCUUUGAAUCAGCUGAGAAAGCAACCAACACAAGAAGUAGAAUACAAACAUUACCUCAAAGUUUUCAAAACUUACUUUACAGGAAUGUAAGCCUAAUGACUGUGAGAGACAAAACUUAAAUGAAAAAUAAAUACAUGGUAAUUAAGUGGCGUUCAUCUUGAACAACAUGCUAGGAGAGUACUUUUGGAAAGCAGGAAAAGAUCCUAGUGUCCCUUUUUUUUUUAGAGCACAAAGUCUUCUAUUGAAAACUAGUCUUGUCAUAGGUCUCUACAGUUAAUUUAUUAAGACACUUGAAAACGUUUUAAAUGGCUUCCCCAAGAGGAAUUAAAUUAUUUUUAUUCUUUUUUUUUUUACACUUUUAUGUGAGUUGUUUUGAUGGCUUCUGGGACAGAAAUGUUAUAAGUAUUCAGAAAACAGGUAUGGUAGAAAUGGAUGCCAGAUGCCGCACAGAGUCCCUCAAAUUGCCUGUCCAAUAUGAUUUGAUACUGUCAAAUAUUGUGAACAAUAUAAGGGUAAGCAUGUCAUUUAGUUUCAGAGUACCUGAGUGCUCCAUGCCUAAUUGCAGCAGUGUGUGUUUUUCUAAUAUGGGAGCUAAACAGCGAUCAUAAAAUCACUUAACAUAGGCCACCAAAUAGUCAGGAAGGACUAAGAAAUUCUCUUUUUCCCCGUUAAGCUGAAUUUAAAUCACUAUGACUGAGAAAAUUAGUAUCUUGGAUCCCACUAUCAACUCCUUAAGCCAGUAUUUUUCCGUGUUUUUUUUUUUUAAGAUGAUGUCCCAUUAUCCAAAAAAAAAAAAAAUUGCAGCCCUCAUUGUCUGUAUAUAAACGAAUUAACAUCUAUUGCUCGUAUAAGUGACAAAUCUAUGUCAUAUUUCUUGAAAGGCUGAAAAGCAUGCUUGACCUUGAAGAGUAAAGUCACCAGGAGUGCAGAAGCUAGGUUGCCUUUGCUUUAUAAUUUGCAAAAUUUUCAACGACUUGCCAACACCUGACCAUGUUUCAUGACUACCAUGUGUGUCACAACCCAUCCUCUCAGAAGUGCUGCCCUGAUCCAUCCCCCUAACCGUAAUGACGAACAGUGUAAUAACUGGCUAAUUUCAGUAUUAGUGGUUUAGAGUCAUUAACAAUAUUUCCCGAAUUACAAUAUGACAGCAAACAAGAAUAAUAUUCCUUCCUUCUAAGAGAUAUAUUUGGCUGUAAUUACCUGGAUAUUUGAGGUCUAAGCAAGCUCUUGGACAUCUUAUGGUUAACUGCAACAUAGCAAAAACUGAAAAGAUCAGCCAAAUCUUUAAAGAUGAGGUUGCUCUAAAGGACAAAAAGUUAAGUUCAAUGACUUCUAGUACCAAAUGAUAGUUGGCUAGUUAAAGCCAUUAUCUAAAUACACGGCAUAUACUCAGUUCAAAGACAAACACAACAAACAAAAGAAACCCUGAAGUAUUUCUGAGGACUUUCUUAUUUACUUAAAUCAUUAUUUUAAAUUAAGUCAAUACAGCAUCAAACAACUAAAACACUGCAGUCUACAAGACUAUGUAAUAAUAUCCCCAGGGAAACAGCAUUAUUUUGUUUAAAACAGAAUGGGGAAAAAAAAAAGAACGUUCUACAAGGGAGAAAAAAUUCUAAAUGAAGAGUGACAAAAAGUCAACCUGCUACCUCUCCUGAAGCGUAAUGUUUAUUUAGCUACUCAUAUGUGACCGAUUCACCAUCAGGACUGCCUCAGAAGAAGGGGGAAUGGCCAAGAAACUUAGUUUACUGCGGGCCAUUUGAGAAGUCAAUGGUACUAGGGUUCCUAACUCGGAGAUGGUGCCUGCCGCAGGUCUUCUGGAAACACUGGCUGAUCUCUGUGAGGAAACCUCCUAAGAUAAAAGGUGGUUUAUGUUUCAGUAUAAAGUACACCAUCAGCGUCCUGAUUAGCUCAGGCUAACUAAUUCCCUGAACUCUAAUCAAACAAUGAAAAUUGUACUUAGCACGUAGCAAGCCGGAUGAGUGGAAGCCUACACUUCAAAUAAAUGAACACAGCAUGUUGUGAAGUCUGAACAGCCUUGACUGUACUAGGGAGCCUGUGAAAUACGUUAGCUAGCCUGUUUGAAUAAUUAACUUUAACCCUUAACAUUUUAUCCAGAUGAGCAGCUUUUAUAGUGUAUUAGGUACACUCAUCAAAUCAUCUGUUCAACCCAGAAACUCCUCAAAGGUUGUGGUUUGCUUAGUACAUUUGCAGCCUGGAACAAGCAUUGGAGGGGCAACCAAAUUAAGAUGGUCCAAAUCUGACUAGUAAUCAAUUAUGUCAAAGUAAUAAAAAUAGACGUAUCUUGAAAGCACUUCAGAGAGUUCUUUGAUGUCUCCUUUACUAAACACAAUAGGCCAAAUUAAGUACUGGUGAAAACUGCCAUAAGAGCUUGGUCAUUUUCGGUAACCGUGUAACUCCUACAGACUUAGCAUGCAGUCCGAAGGCAGCCUGAGGGGUCAAAAAACAGGUAUAACAAGGAAAAGUAACCACCUCCAAAGGGAUGGGGUAAAGUAGGUCACCAUUAAACACCUUCUUGAAGAGAUCUCCAACUGAUGCACCCUGGCCUACUGAAAUUGAUAAAACUGAUUUCCUCCAUAGAGGGGUUUCACCUGCUCAGCCUGUGUUACCUUAUCUUAGCAACUGUGACUUAUUGCUCAGCCCUUCACACCCCUCUUUUAAGAUGCUAUUUUGCCAUGCAUGUAUAUAUUAUCUAUGUUUAUUCAGGAAUGCAAAGAAUUCAUACGAAAGAAGAAAACAAAGGUAGUUAGUAACUGCACAACAACAAAACUUUUCAGUUUUCAAAAUUGGCAUCCUAAUUACGCCAUACACGUGCUCAUCUGAGUUUCAUGCUUCAGUAUCCAUAGAGUUGAAUCAGCACAGAAAAUUAACAUUCUUGUUGACACAAACUGCUACUGACUUGAAAGGAGUAAUCUUUCAUUUAGAUCAAAUGGUAGUUUUGCUGGGAAAAAAAUGAAUAUUCUGCAUGAAUACUAAUAAAUAUCCUGUAGCAAUUUUCAGAGAUUUUAUUGUUUAGGUCUGUGAAAAUAACAUAAUGAAUUUUAUGUCAUCAAAACUGUCUUCUUGUAAAAUAGCUCUUAAUUUCUGCAAGGAUUUCAAGAGACAAGAAAAAUCUUCUUCAACUGAAAGAAUACUAUGUUGUCACUAUGAGGCUAAAAAGUGCUAAACAAUGAAGUGCUAAACAAAAUCCUGAAGACAGGAAGAUUUUGUGGAGAAACGUGGCCUGUUAAUCUCAGCGUAAGUUACUGAAGUAUUUUAUAUUCUUGUGAAUCCCACAUGACCUUGUGCAAGCCACAAAACCUUAGCAUGCCGUUAUUCAACAAAGCACUCAGGCUUUUCACUGGGACUCAUAUGUGGACGUUAGAUCUUACAACUGCCUACGUAGAGCAGCAACAACUUAAAAUGGAGCAACAUAGGGACUCGGUGUUUUGCCCCAUGACCCAGCAGUGAGACAAAAAGCACUACUAUACAAAGGAAACAUGUGGAAUAGCCUGGAAAUUGUUUCAGUGAGAAUGUCAGAGAAGCUGUUGAAGAAACAAUGGGAGAUGAAGAAUUGCCAAGCUGGAAUAUAAGAAAAAAAGUUACCUUUUAUCUCAUAUUCCUUAGAAAGCUAACUGCUGCCUAACACAUUGACCUUGGGCUGGACUCCAGAUGUGAAAGGGGUUUUUGCUACCUCUUCUUCCUAACAGAAGGAGAAGUAAUGGUCCCAGAUGUAACAGCCAGGGAACUGAGCACGCGCUACAAAGGUUUUGACUAUGACCUUGCUGUCCUUCUUGAAGGGCAGAAGCCCCCAGCUGCACAGGAAGGGCUGCUGGCCUUCGGUGUUUCAAACAUGGAUCAGGUGGAACCCAAUGACAUCCCCAAACCUGUUUUUCUUUCACUGUCAGGAAAUGGCACUUGGGUUGGCAAAUUCAUCCUUUUUAUUUGUUGCGUUAAAAAAAGCCAAUGGAAGAAUUUUAUUUUACCAGCUUUCUUCUGUGAUCUUAUUCUUUGUGGUCUCCACUGAAUUAGAAGGGUCCCCAAUAAGGUGAGUUUUGCUCAGAUUAAAGAGGUAUUUGACUGCAAGCUUGAUUUAUGAUAAUUAAGGGAAAAACAAGUUGGACAGGAUGCUGAAGAGAAAAUUGAGGCCUGGUAAUACAUGCAAACAGGGAGAAGCUGUUGUUGUUGUUCAUCUUUUUAGCACUUUGUUUUCCAGCAGCAGGAGCUGUUGUGUUUUGUUUCCUCCAAACAGGAACUAAUAAUGAUGAUCUACUGGAUGGACUAAUAAGAAGGACGUCUUGCUUUUGUUGAAGUAAUUUUUUUUCUUUCCUAAAAAAAGCUGAUCUUUUUGGAAACAUUUUGCAUCUUUUUUCCUCUUUUCCUUUCCGAUAUAUGAAGUGUGCUGUAUGGAAUGCUGCUUGGUGUCCAGGGUGCUUGCUUGCUCCACCUGUUUUGAAGACAGGUAGGACAGCACACUCAAAAUGUAAAAAUGGCUGGUCUCAGGCAAGCAGAAGUGAAAAACCGACACUGAUGUGCAAGCCACACUAACCUUUCAACUAAGGCUGGGCUGCUUUUCCCUCAAGUCCCCUUUGUGUUGAGGGGAAGUUCUAGAACAAUAUAUCGAGGCAAUCUCCAUUCAUGCUUGCUCUGCUGGACCAUCACAAAGCAGCUGAAAUGGACUGGCAGGUUCAGCCUUUGGAGGUUGUUGACCACUUGGCUGCAGAGGGCUCUGUAACGCCGUACUUGAAAAAGCAAACAAAAUUCAAAGAUGGACUUCAAGUAAGCCGGUCUGUCCUCAGUGUUUUUGUGCAAACUGUUUAUUACCGUGCCACAUCUAGUGAGCUGUUUUGCAUAAUAAACCUCUGAAAAUCUAACCCGACUCCACUACCAUAUGAGGAUUAUGGUAUGGUAAUACCUCGCUUCAGCCACUUCUGAGGAUUAGCUUCAAAAAUCAAAUUAAAAUGAAGCAAACCCAAAUAGACUGGGUAGUUCCACAAUAAGUUGCAAAGCCUGUAUUCAGUAACCAUCAUCUGUGCCUCCUGCAUUUUAUUUAUGAGGUAUUUGUGCAAAUACCAUUACAGUACCCCUGUACUACAUAUGGUAAAGGUGAGAAACUCUUUGUGCAUGGCACAUCAGUAUUCUAAGACUACGAGGCCUUACUUGCCCGAGUAUUCCUACUGAAGCAAAAAAAAAUAAAUCUAUUUGUUUAUUUCCAAAUGCUGAAGGGAAAAUAUGUGAUGUUUACCUCACAAUUUGAGGAAAAAGAGCGAGGGUGAGAAGUAUAAUGCCCUCCAAGCAGGACUGUGUGCUGUGACUUGAAGAAAUGGCCACAGAACUGUGAGUAUGCAUCUUGUUUUUCAUUCUUACACAAGUCAUUGUUUUUUAUUCUUUUCCUCAAGUGUAUGUAUUUGUUUAAAAAAAAUGAACGGUGAGUGUAAUGAACUGUUUGUCUAAACAGGUAUACUAAAACAAAAUAUGCAAACCUGUUUCUGAGCAGUCACUGUAAACAAGAGCUAUUCAAUACAUUUUAAAUUCUAUUUGGGGUCAAAUGCUAAUAGAGAUAUUAACACGUAACUGGUGAAAGGCACACAAAAACUUGAUCUACCAGAUUAACAAUUCUGUUGUCUUAAAUUAGCAGGGAAAAUUACACACUGUCAACAGUAUGUUUGUGCUGUUCUUCAUUCCUUUCAUUAUACAGUAAAAUGUGAAUCGCGAGCCAGAUCAAAACUCUUACAGAGUGAUGUUAGAGGUCAGUAAUCUCAAAUAAUAAUUAAAAAUGUAGAACUGGAAUACUGUUAACUACCUAAAUCUCCUGAGAUGACAAACAAUAAUGAAAAAAUUCAGGAAGUCUGUAAGCAAUUUAUAAGGCAGAGGCAGAUGUCUGUAACAGACACGCUGCUGAUCUGAAGCAGUUUGAUAGCAUCCGUAAUCCAGAACUGGCAAGGAACAACAAGGUGUUUUUCAGCAAUAGUCUUGAUUAAGACAGUAAGAACAUUAACGAAAUAGUUUGAGACGACACUUCCUGAAUAUGCUGUUCAGUACAAUUAAAAUGAUAAGCAGAAAAUGAAGACUACACAAGGAAGUUGCUAGGAAUGGUUUAGGUGAUCACAGAGAGAUAACUGGACUUUACAAGUACAAGGCAGUUUUCUCUCCAGCUUGUGCAUGAUCUGAACACUAAAAAAAUAUGGUAGUCCUGUAUUUAAUAAACAGAACUACUUACCUACAGUACUGUUUUUAAAAUAAAAAAAGAGCAUUGCUCCCCUAAUUCACUGCUGUCUAUUCUCAAACUUCAUACUGAAAACUUAGUUACACAACCAGGUUUACUGAAUAUGCUGCCUUCUCCAGCCAAGUAAUAAUUAGCAUCCUAGAUAGCAAGAAAACUAACAGUAGUGCAAUAAAGGCACUGUAAUGAAUGUGAACUUGGUUCAGUGCAAUGGAUUUAGCUAAUUACGUAUCCAUACUCCCUGGACAGCAAAUGACACGUUUAUUAAUAUGAUACAUCCCCUCAUUACAGCAGAAAGGCAGUCUGGCAACCCUUCUCUGCUUGUUAAUUCGCAGCAGUGGAGUAGGAGUCCCACAAACGCAACUGUGUGUAAAUCUACACAAUUUAUUACUGUGAGAAAAAAGACCCUGGCUGAGAGUGGUUUAUUGACCUGUGCUGCACAAAAUAAAAAGCCCCCA